AGAGAUGUGACUGAGGGGUUUAAAGUGUUCCCCUGCUAAGGGAAAAUUCUUAAAAGAAUCAAGGGUUCGAAUCCCUUCAUCUCUU
rnacentral:tRNA from 1 species